UGAGUGGGAAAGGCGAUCGCGGCCGCACGCAUGAGGCGGUCGAGGAAAGUCCGGGCUCCAUAGGGCAGGGUGCUGGAUAACGUCCAGCGAGGGCGACCUUAGGGCCAGUGCCACAGAAAUGAAGACCGCCGGCUUUCGGGCCGGUAAGGAUGCAACGGUGCGGUAAGAGCGCACCAGCGGCCGGGUGACCGGCCGGCUAGGUAAACCCCACCCGGAGCAAGACCGAAUAGGGAAGGGAUGAAGCGGCCCGCUGAACCUUCCGGGUUGCGUCGCUAGAGCCGUCGGGCAACCGCCGGCCCAGAUAGAUGAUCGCCACCGCGCAAGCGGCACAGGACCCGGCUUAUUGAUCACUCACAGC
rnacentral:RNase_P_RNA from 1 species